ensembl:lncRNA FAM86DP family with sequence similarity 86 member D, pseudogene
GGCCCCGCCCACGUCAUGGCGCCCGAGGAGAAUGCGGGGACCGAACUCUUGCUGCAGAGUUUCGAGCGCCGCUUCCUGGCGGCGCGCACGCUGCGCUCCUUCCCCUGGCAGGGGGGCGGCGGGCGAGCGGAGAGGCCCGCGGGGCUCGCGGGAGUCCAGGGGCAGACGGGAUGGGUCUCCGUGCUGAAACCCCCGGCGCUCCUGCCACAGCUUAGAAGCAAAGUUAAGAGACUCAUCAGAUUCUGAGCUGCUGCGGGAUAUUUUGCAGAAGACUGUGAAGCAUCCUGUGUGUGUGUGAAGCACCCGCCGUCAGUCAAGAAAGCCCGGUGCUUUCUCUCAGAACUCAUCAAAAAGCACGAGGCUGUCCACAUGGAGGCUUUGGACGAGCUGUAUGAGGCACUGGCAGAGACCCUGAUGGCCAAGGAGUCCACCCAGGGCCACCGGAGUUAUUUGCUGACGUGCUGUAUUGCCCAGAAGCCAUCGUGUCGCUGGUCGGGAUCCUGCGGAGGCUGGCUGCCUGCUGGGAGCACCAGCAGUCUCCUGAGGUCUACGUGGCCUUUACCGUCCACAACCCAGAGACGUGCCAGCUGUUCACCACCGAGCUAGGCCGGGCUGGGAUCAUAUGGGAAGCGGAAGCUCAUCAUGACCAGAAACUGUUUCCCUAUGGAGAGCACUUGGAGAUGGCAAUGCUGAACCUCACACUGUAGGACUCACACACGACUCCAACGGGAUUGUGAGAAUCAAGUCAAUCUCAUGGGAAGAAUUUUUAUAUGGGAAAGCGGAUAAAACUUUCAUUGUACUGGAAUGUUUGGAGAAUGUUAAAUUCCAAAUCAGAAACCACAAACUGCCCUCUAAUAAGACAUCGGCUAUCUAAGCGUGUGGGUGCCCCCUUUCUGCCAGCAGUUCUGGUUCUUACGAAAAUCACCAUAUAUCAGACAUGAAAAUUCUGGCUUUGUGCAGAUAAAAAAGUGUGUAUCAAGUAUGACGUUCCCCCAAUGUGGACACACUUGGUUCCUCAGAAAGCCAAGCCCACUGCAGCUGCCACAUCCCUGGACACACUCGGUUCCUCACAAAGCCAAGCCCGCUGCAGCUGUCACAUCCCUGGACACACUCGGUUCCUCACAAAGCCAAGCCCACUGCAGCUGCCACAUCCCUGAGCCUAUGGUGCAGCAGGUGCUUUUUUCAAGACAGGGAUCAAAGUGUUAGGAACACGGCAGAAAGGUGACACCUGGAGACCAAAUGCAGGAUGAGGAGUACUGCAGAGGUCACAGGGAAGUCAGAGAACAGUAAUACGCUAACAGGGGCACGGGGCAUGAAGAACAAAAGACAGGAAGCGUUUCAGAGACUCCAAAGAAGAAAUCAGGGCCAACCACAGCUUCCCGGGUCAUUCACCAGGUGGCACCACUGCCGUCAUUUCAGCUUCUGGCCACUGGGAGGCGCUGCUCGAAAGGGUUUGCCCUGACACUCCAAGAAGCUGCGGGAAGGACAGCAGGGGCCCUGGGGUUUUAGCCUCUGGCCCAGGAGUUAUGUGUCCAUAACCAAAGGGAGCACAGUCUGCACCCAGCUCUCAUCCCAUCAGAGCUGCUGCGACUCCUGCAGGUUCUUCCGGAACUGGUUUAGCUUGCCUGCAGGAUCAGGAAAGUUUGAGAAAAGCAUCUGCAAAAUACUAAAGAGCAGAGCUUACCUCAUUGCCUGUCCCCACCCCAUCCCAGGUCACCACCUGGCUGACCCCAGGUCCCCGACCCAACAACAACCCCUCCCAAGUCCCUAACUCCCUCACUUGGACUUGAGACCCUUCACACCCCAGCAGCGCUCCGCCUCCCACUUGACAUCAUGCUUUCUGGAAACUUCCCCGUAUGUCCCACUUUCCCACACUUGGUGCCCUGGAGCACCUUCCGGCCUCUACAUGCUGUACGUUCCCCUGUGAGCACCCUCCUCUCGGCCUCUGGCCAACACAGUCCCACCCAUCUGUGGGUAACAAGGGGGAGUGGGUGUUCUUUUCAGCCUUGCUAAACUCUCUGAAUCAAGGAUCACAAACUACAGCCUGCAGGCCAAAUCCAGCCCACAGCCUGUGUUUGUAAAUAAAGCUUUAUUGGAAGAAAGCCACACCCCUUAA